GACGAACGCUGGCGGCGUGCCUAAUACAUGCAAGUCGAGCGGACGGAUGGGAGCUUGCUCCCAGACCGUCAGCGGCGGACGGGUGAGUAACACGUGGACAACCUGCCUGUAAGACUGGGAUAACUCCGGGAAACCGGGGCUAAUACCGGAUAACUCUUUCCCUCACAUGAGGGAAAGCUGAAAGAUGGCAUCUCGCUAUCACUUACAGAUGGGCCCGCGGCGCAUUAGCUAGUUGGUGAGGUAACGGCUCACCAAGGCGACGAUGCGUAGCCGACCUGAGAGGGUGAUCGGCCACACUGGGACUGAGACACGGCCCAGACUCCUACGGGAGGCAGCAGUAGGGAAUCUUCCGCAAUGGACGAAAGUCUGACGGAGCAACGCCGCGUGAGUGAUGAAGGUUUUCGGAUCGUAAAACUCUGUUGUCAGGGAAGAACAAGUACCGGAGUAACUGCCGGUACCUUGACGGUACCUGACCAGAAAGCCACGGCUAACUACGUG
rnacentral:rRNA from 1 species